UCAGGUGUGGCAAACAUAGUUCCUGACGUUUGUGACGGUAACGGGCACAGUGCCAUACACUCGGGCCUUCUUCAGUUAUUGCCAUUAAACUGACAUCUAC